UUAAAAUGCAAAUCUCCCCUGGAUAGAUAAGUGGAAUUUACUCCCUCUUAUGAAGGGAACCUCUGGGGAGCGCCGAGCGCGGCAGCCGGCCCGCUCUGCAUGCGAGAUCCAGCCGGAGGGGGGGAAUCUCUGCCUCCCCCCCCCAGCCCAUCACUUCCGGGCAAACACUCCUGCGACAACCAUCCUCAUCACCAUGAAGGCUCCCGAAUUGCCCGCAAGCACAGCGCGGAGUGUGUCCACGACAGCGACCUUUGGAAAUCUGCAGUCAGUAGCAGCUUUGUCUGAGAAUGGGUAUUGCUGACAGCAGUGUCUGAAGACAAAGGCAUCACAUAAAUCAUAGCUUGUUGGGUUGUUCAGAAGGGACUGUGUCUGAAUGCCCAUCAAAUGCUUCCUGAAGAGGAUGAACAUACCAAGGAGAGAUAUUUUCCAGUUUCUCCCAAGGAUUUACCAAGACGUGCUAUAUCAGCUAAUGAUGGUUCUUGAGAAGAUUAUGUCAUAAUGAAGGCGGAGAAUCUGGUCAUCUAUAUAUAUGUGAUCUGACCUGAGCCCUUUCUUUGGGUUUCAUUGAGCAAUGCACUAAUAGAGUCAACGUAGGCAAACAGCUGCCACCCUCACCAUGAAAACAGAAGGUGCCUCGGUGGUCCUUGCUCUGGCAUUUUUCUGCUUCUUCUCAGAUGUUGCCAGCCAAGCUUCGAUUAAGG